rnacentral:lncRNA from 1 species
GUACCCCGCCGCGCCGGGCAAGAAGAUGGCGGGAUCAGUGGCCGACAGCGAUGCCGUGGUGAAACUAGAUGAUGGCCAUUUAAACAACUCUUUGAGCUCUCCAGUUCAAGCGGACGUGUACUUCCCACGACUGAUAGUUCCAUUUUGUGGGCACAUUAAAGGUGGCAUGAGACCAGGCAAGAAGGUGUUAGUGAUGGGCAUCGUAGACCUCAACCCAGAGAGUGGGAUGAUUUUCUUUUCAGCUUUGCAAUCAGCUUGACCUGUGGGGACUCAGAAGACCCUCCUGCCGAUGUGGCAAUCGAACUCAAAGCUGUGUUCACAGAUCGGCAGCUACUCAGAAAUUCUUGUAUAUCUGGGGAGAGGGGUGAAGAACAGUCAGCAAUCCCUUACUUUCCAUUCAUUCCAGACCAGCCAUUCAGGGUGGAAAUUCUUUGUGAGCACCCACGUUUCCGAGUGUUUGUGGAUGGACACCAACUUUUUGAUUUUUACCAUCGCAUUCAAACGUUAUCUGCAAUUGACACCAUAAAGAUAAAUGGAGACCUCCAGAU